rnacentral:rRNA from 1 species
UUGGAGGGCAAGUCUGGUGCCAGCAGCCGCGGUAAUUCCAGCUCCAAUAGCGUAUAUUAAAGUUGUUGCAGUUAAAAAGCUCGUAGUUGAAUUUCGGAAUCAGUACGUUGGUCGUGCCUUAGGUACGUACUGGUGUUACUGGUUUCUACCUUCUGACGAACCAUCAUGUCAUUCAUUUGGUGUGGCGGGGAAUCAGGACUGUUACUUUGAAAAAAUUAGAGUGUUUAAAGCAGGCCCGCGCUUGAAUACAUUAGCAUGGAAUAAUGAAAUAGGACGUUGAUCCUAUUUUGUUGGUUUCUAGGAUUGACGUAAUGAUUAAUAGGGAUAGUUGGGGGCAUUAGUAUUCAAUUGUCAGAGGUGAAAUUCUUGGAUUUAUUGAAGACUAACUACUGCGAAAGCAUUUGCCAAGGAUGUUUUCAUUAAUCAAGAACGAAAGUUAGGGGAUCGAAGACGAUCAGAUACCGUCGUAGUCUUAACCAUAAACUAUGCCGACUAGGGAUCGGAUGAUGUUAUUUUUAAUGACUCAUUCGGCGCCUUACGGGAAAC